rnacentral:tRNA from 1 species
GCUCCCAUGGCGUGUGGUCACUGCGCUCGCCUUGCACGCGGGAGACCCGGGUUCGAUUCCCGGCGGGGUCA